GGGGGAUUAGCUCAGUUGGCUAGAGCACCUGCUUUGCACGCAGGGGGUCAUCGGUUCGAAUCCGUUAUCCUCCAC
rnacentral:tRNA from 2 species